UAGAUUCAAGUCUCACUUUUAGAAAUUUUGUGAUUUUUGGAAUCAAGCCUUAUCUUUGUUCAGAGGGUUUAUAUUUAAUUUUCUGUAAACCCAUAUCAGAAGGAGCCUGCUGGUUCGAGUGGUAAGGGAACAGAUGUGUUGGAGGUCCUGUGUUUAAAUCUUUGUGCUUGCAUGGGUAUUAUUUUUGCUUAUUUGUCUGAUAGAGUUUCAGUGGAGUUAAAAUUCUGAAGUAGUUGUAAGUUAGUG
rnacentral:lncRNA from 1 species